CCAGCAGAAAGAACACCAGCUCCAGACUCAGAGCUCUUUGGGCAACCGGAUCCACAAUUUUAAUCUUUGCUCUGAACAUCAGUGCUGAUGGUCUGACACUCCCUGCAGAGCCUGAGAGCGAAUGGAGCAGCCUGGAAUGAGGAAGAGACUACAGGGAGGAUCCAGUCUGACAAUGAAGCUGACAUAGCAAAGGCCCACGGAACAGUGUGGAAAUGUCAUAGUUUCAGCUGCAGCAACAAAGUAUGAAGAGGAAACACUAUAAAGAGGAACAAAGAGGAGCAGUCACAUACCCAUGAACGUUUUUCCAGACAAACUGAGAUAGCAAUUGCCUCCCUGUUUCAUAUUGACUACAGGAAUCUUCUUUGGAUAAACACAGGGUUUCAUCUUUCACUUGUUCCAGACUUCUCUUGCAAUUAUUUUCACUACUUCAGUCACUGAUAUUCCUUCUGACACUGACUAAUGGAUCAGCAAGCUCAGUUUCCAUAAGCACAACUGUAUUCCCAAGCAAAACUCUGUUCCACUAAGGAAGCCUGGAGAUAAUUUUACCACUCACUACUGUGUCUGGGAAGGUAGAAACUGUCAAACUCAAGUCAAUAUUCAAUGCUGUGGCAUCUCUCCCACAAGAGUAUUGAAAAUGAGGAAAACUAUAGAGAAAAGAGGAAGAAAAGAAGUCCAUCUAUGUGUCUAUGGCAUUCCUUUAUUCACAGAUUGGACAGAACUUUCUAAGGCGCCUGCACUCUGUCUUGGCAUCUACAUCAUUGAUUUUCCUUAAGCACUUCAGUGUCGCAUCAAAUUACUAGAAUAGACUUACAUCCUAGGAAGGACAAACUUAUAUAUAAAAAAGAUAAUGUUGUAAUUAACAAGACAUUCCUCUGUCUUUCUUUUUUUUUUUUUUUUUCAUCUAUCAUAUUAAACCUUGGA